GACGAACGCUGGCGGCGUGCUUAACACAUGCAAGUCGAACGGAAAGGCCCUGCUUUUGUGGGGUGCUCGAGUGGCGAACGGGUGAGUAACACGUGAGUAACCUGCCCUUGACUUUGGGAUAACUUCAGGAAACUGGGGCUAAUACCGGAUAGGAGCUCCUGCUGCAUGGUGGGGGUUGGAAAGUUUCGGCGGUUGGGGAUGGACUCGCGGCUUAUCAGCUUGUUGGUGGGGUAGUGGCUUACCAAGGCUUUGACGGGUAGCCGGCCUGAGAGGGGGACCGGCGACAUUGGGACUGAGAGACGGCCCAGACGCCUACGGGAGGCAGCAGUGGGGAAUAUGGCACAAUGGGCGGAAGCCUGAUGCAGCAACGCCGCGUGCGGGAUGCCGGCCUUCGGGUUGUAAACCGCUUUCGCCUGUGACGAAGCGGGAGUGACGGUAAUGGGUAAAGAAGCACCGGCUAACUACGUG
rnacentral:rRNA from 1 species